GAUGAACGCUAGCUACAGGCUUAACACAUGCAAGUCGAGGGGUAACAUGGAGGGAGCUUGCUUCCUCCGAUGACGACCGGCGAAUGGGUGAGUAACGCGUAUCCAACCUGCCCCUUUCCCACGGAUAGCCCUUAGAAAUGAGGAUUAAUACGUGAUGGCAUCCGGCAAUCGCAUGAGCGCCGGAUUAAAGAUUCAUCGGAAAGGGAUGGGGAUGCGUCUGAUUAGGUAGUUGGCGGGGUAACGGCCCACCAAGCCCUCGAUCAGUAGGGGUUCUGAGAGGAAGGUCCCCCACAUUGGUACUGAGACACGGACCAAACUCC
rnacentral:rRNA from 1 species